rnacentral:rRNA from 1 species
ACUCCUACGGGAGGCAGCAGUGAGGAAUAUUGGUCAAUGGGCGGAAGCCUGAACCAGCCAUCCCGCGUGAAGGAAGAAGGCCUUAUGGGUUGUAAACUUCUUUUCUGUUUGAAGAAUAAGCUUGUCGAGACAAGUGAUGCCGGUAGGACAGGAAUAAGCAUCGGCUAACUCCGUGCCAGCAGCCGCGGUAAUACGGAGGAUGCAAGCGUUAUCCGGAUUUAUUGGGUUUAAAGGGUGCGCAGGUGGUUUAAUAAGUCAGUGGUGAAAGUCUGCCGCUUAACGGUAGGAUUGCCAUUGAUACUGUUGGACUUGAAUAUGGAUGAGGUAGGCGGAAUGUGUAGUGUAGCGGUGAAAUGCUUAGAUAUUACACAGAACACCGAUUGCGAAGGCAGCUUACUAAUCCAUGAUUGACGCUGAGGCACGAAAGCGUGGGGAUCAAACAGGAUUAGAUACCCUGGUAGUC